rnacentral:tRNA from 1 species
GCGCCGCUAGCUCAGCUGGAUAGAGUGUUUGACUACGAAUCAAAAGGUCACAGGUUCGAGUCCUGUGCGGCGCG